AUCACAGUGACCAUGAUCAAAUGC
rnacentral:siRNA from 1 species